rnacentral:rRNA from 9 species
AAAUUGAAGAGUUUGAUCAUGGCUCAGAUUGAACGCUGGCGGCAGGCCUAACACAUGCAAGUCGAACGGUAGCACAGAGAGCUUGCUCUCGGGUGACGAGUGGCGGACGGGUGAGUAAUGUCUGGGAAACUGCCUGAUGGAGGGGGAUAACUACUGGAAACGGU